GACAGAGGGUGCAAACGUUGUUCGGAAUUACUGGGCGUAAAGGGUUCGUAGGUGGCCAACUAAGUCAUACGUGAAAUCCCUCAGCUUAACUGGGGAACUGCGUCUGAUACUGGUUGGCUUGAGUGCAGGAGAGGAACGCGGAAUUCCAGGUGUAGCGGUGAAAUGCGUAGAGAUCCGGAGGAAUACCAGUGGCGCAAGCGGCGCUCUGGGUCGAGCCUGACACUGAGACGCGAAGGCAUGGGGAGCGAACGGG
rnacentral:rRNA from 1 species